rnacentral:rRNA from 1 species
CAAUAGCGUAUAUUAAAGUUGUUGCAGUUAAAAGCUCGUAGUUGGAUUUCUGUCACUUGCUUGCUGACUAUCUUUAUUGAUAGUUCAUGUAUAGCUGUGCCAUUCUCCGGUUGAGGUAUGCUUUAUGUAUGCAUCAUCUGGACUUUUACUUUGAGUAAAUUAGAGUGUUUCAAGCAAGCCAUUGCCGUGAAUACUGCAGCAUGGAAUAAUAAUAUAGGACGUUGGUUCUAUGUUGUUGGUUCUGAGAGCCGAUGUAAUGAUUAAUAGGAACAGUUGGGGGGCAUUCGUAUUAAACAGCUAGAGGUGAAAUUCUUAGAUUUGUUUAAGACGAACUACAGCGAAAGCAUUUGCCAAGGAUGUUUUCAUUAAUCAAGAACGAAAGUUAGGGGAUCGAAGACGAUCAGAUACCA